rnacentral:rRNA from 1 species
UACGAAGGGGGCUAGCGUUGCUCGGAAUCACUGGGCGUAAAGCGCACGUAGGCGGGUUCUUAAGUCAGGGGUGAAAUCCUGGAGCUCAACUCCAGAACUGCCUUUGAUACUGGGAAUCUCGAGUCCGGGAGAGGUGAGUGGAACUGCGAGUGUAGAGGUGAAAUUCGUAGAUAUUCGCAAGAACACCAGUGGCGAAGGCGGCUCACUGGCCCGGUACUGACGCUGAGGUGCGAAGGCGUGGGGAGCAAACAGG